rnacentral:tRNA from 1 species
UCCCUGGUGGCUCAGAUGGUAAAGUGUCUGUCUACAAUAUAGAAGACCCGGAUUCAAUCCCUGGGUUGGGAA